AUCUUCUUAAGGAGAAUUUGCAGAUAACUCAUAAUAGAAUGAGCCAGUAGGCAAACAAGAAUAGAACAGAGAGAUAAUUUGCAAUAGGGGAUUGGGUUUAUUUGAAGCUUCAGCCUUAUAGGCAAGCUUCAGUGGCUGUGAGACAAUCUCUUAAGCUAUGUGCGAGGUAUUAUGGUCCUUUUGAAGUAAUAUCAAAGGUAGAAAACGUAGCUUAUAAGUUGGCCUUACCUGCAUCUUCAUCUAUCCAUCCUGUCUUCCAUGUUUCUAUGCUCAAAAAGAAAUAGGGAGAUGGCAUUAUUCCUGUUAGAGAGCUGCCUCAGUACCAUGAAGAUAAGUUGGUUGUUGCUCCUGAAGAGACGUUGCAAACCAGAGUUGUUUUGAGAGG
rnacentral:misc_RNA from 1 species